rnacentral:tRNA from 1 species
AAAUUUUUAGUUAAAAAAAUAAUAUUAAUCUGUCAGAUUGAAGUUGCAAUUAUUGUAAAAUUUU